UCGACCAUCGGGUCUCCUGCAGUUCUGUGCUUUGAACUUGACCUAGGAGGUCCUUCUCCCAAGUCCUUUGCAUUAGCUACAGGCAAAACAAUGCAGAUCUCAUGGUCCCAUGAAAUCCAGAGUACAAAGAGUGGUAGCUACCAGCUUGGCCUUGAGGUCUUAAUCAAUCAAUUCUAGAAGCCCCUCUUACGUUUAGUACUUUCGAUCAGGCUGUCAUCUGAUCCUGGGAGUCACCAGACCGACCCGUCAUCUAGUAGCCGUCGAUCGACCCGUCUUCCAUGAAUUUGACCAAGCCCCUUUGAAGGCCAUCUGAGCAACUGGCCGUUAGCACAACCCAUGGAAGAGAACUCCAAAGGAUAUGCUUGACCAAGUACUUCCUUUUGUCGGUCCUACAUUUCCUGGCCUUCCUUUUCAUGGGAUGACCUCUGGACUCUAGUGUUGGGAGAGAGGGAGAAAAGCUUCUCUAUCCACUCUCUCUACUCCAUGCAGCAUUUUCGACAAUCUGUACGCAGCGUAGUAUAUAUUGAGCACACAUAUUUUGCAUGCAUUUCCGUCCUCCCUUGGUCAUGCUGUCUUGUGACUUGACCUGCUUCGUAGGGCUGUUGGGAAGGCGAAAUGGUGGAAGCCCAACCCUCGGACAUGCAGCUCAGUGGGGACCCUGGACUCCCUUAUUUUUCUGCCAAACUUUCUGCACAGGAAUGGCUGGAGAAUGCACAAGGCACACACAUGGAUUCCUCAAGCCAGCCACAAUCCUGGGGAUUCUGCUGCCUCCCACAGCCCUUGGGAGAACAAAACAGCCCACCAGGCAAGAUGCCCGGAGAUGCUGUGAAUUAAGCUCUGUCCGGGCAUUUAAUAUUUGGAGAUGCUGUAGUGUCUCAGAGCUCACCCCUGCUCAGGAGACCUCUCACACCCAAGCAUUUAGAACAGGGCUGCUCAACUUUGGCCAUCCCGCAGAUGUUGGCCUACAACUCCCAGAAUCCCUUGCUACGGGCCACUGUGCCUGGAGAUUGUGGGAACUGUAGUACAAAAAGAGCUGUGGGGCUAAGGUUGAUCAGGGCUGGUCUAGACCUUCCCAAGUUAGGGGCCUCCAGAUGUUGCUGAACUAAAACUCCCAUCAGCACCUGCUCCCAUUAAUAAGGGAAUGCACUCUAUUCUGUGCUAGUCACACUUCCCUUGGAAUACCCUGUGCAUAUUUAUGCAACGGGUCAUGUGGUAUUGUCAUUUUAUAGAUCUGAUGUUUCCUCUAGGUAUACAGGUUCAGACAUUUUCCUUAUAUGUGUAUUUUAAGUUAUAUAGAUUUUCCUUGGGCACGGGGGGACCAAAACAGGAGGAAAUCUAUCUGCUCUUCAGAAGAUGCUCUGGCUUUGUUUGGGUGACAUUGCUUACUAUCCACUUUUUGAGCUGUUUUCCCCCUGAAUAUUUCAUUUCAUAGCAUAUAUCACACACACACACAAACCCGCAAUGGUUUUUGUGUUUUUAUUUUGGUCAAGUUCCACUGAGGGCUGCUUGCCAAUUGAAAAACCAUACUGCCAAAACACACACACACCCCCCACCGAACACUUCUGGUUGUCUUUUGGGGAGAUGCUUGGGAAACACUUAAACUGCUGACACUCAACUAGUUCAUAUCAGAUGAUAUCAAACUGAUCACAAAGCAAUUGCCUGACCCCUCUGCCAGUGGGCAUCACAAUCCCGUCCUUGUUGGCCUCCCCCCUUUUGACCAUAUAUGGUUCCUUUCAAAGCCCCUCUCAAUAUGGCCUGCCUCUUUCUGCUGUCACAAGGAGAGCAACCACAGCCCCCUCCCACUUCUGCCCGCAUCAUAAGACUCCACUGUCCUCUGAGCCCCAAUAAAAGCAGCCCACCUUUGCUGAGCAGCUAAGUCUCCCUGGGGGGGGGAGAGGGGAAACGGUUAAUGUUUCCCCUUUGCCCCCGUGGGAUGUGGGAGGGCGGCCGAAGUCCUGGGCUUUUUCCGCAAUCUCACUCCCUGUAGGGGAUCCAGGUUUCUGGUAGAGGACGCCGAGCUGUCUCCCUUAGACCCCUGCAGGCUCCUUCGGGAGCUCCUACUGGCCACCGUCUGACGUGCCCCUCUCGGGCUAAGGGCUGAAGCGGGGUCUCCCCCUCCCUGUAAGAAUAAGCUCCCCAAGCAGCUCGAAGACCCAGCUCCCAAAGGUGUGGUCCUUCUGGUUGAGCCAGAGUAGCUCAAGCUGUGUCUGGGUGGGCUCAUCCCUUGGUGGUCCUGCCCCAACACAGAUUGACCAAGGCCCACUGUUUAACCUGGCCCUGCAGGCCUGGCUGGUUGCCGCUUUUUGGAGCCGAGAAGGAAUUUUCCCCUGGGAGGUCUCUGGAUCCCCAGGUUUUUUGCCUUCUCUGCACGGCCUUCCUCUUGAGCUCUGCAAGUGCCUUGGCUUGCCGCUGAAGACGAGUCAAGCAGUGGGUCUUUCCCCCUCCCACCCCUCCCCAAAUAAAAUAUAAAUAGAUUUGAA